AUUGAACGCUGGCGGCAUGCCUUACACAUGCAAGUCGAACGGUAACGCGGGGCAACCUGGCGACGAGUGGCGAACGGGUGAGUAAUGCAUCGGAACGUGCCCAGUAGUGGGGGAUAGCCCGGCGAAAGCCGGAUUAAUACCGCAUACGACCUACGGGUGAAAGGGGGGGAUCGCAAGACCUCUCGCUAUUGGAGCGGCCGAUGUCAGAUUAGGUAGUUGGUGGGGUAAAGGCCUACCAAGCCGACGAUCUGUAGCUGGUCUGAGAGGACGACCAGCCACACUGGGACUGAGACACGGCCCAGACUCCUACGGGUGGCAGCAGUGGGGAAUUUUGGACAAUGGGCGCAAGCCUGAUCCAGCCAUGCCGCGUGCGGGAAGAAGGCCUUCGGGUUGUAAACCGCUUUUGUCAGGGAAGAAAUCUUCUGAGUUAAUACCUCGGGAGCAUGACGGUACCUGAAGAAUAAGCACCGGCUAACUACGUGCCAGCCGCCGCCGUAACAC
rnacentral:rRNA from 1 species